CUUCCAAUGUUUUAUUUUUUCUUCCGAUUAUUAGAUCUACACAACACUUGUACAUUGUACAUUGCUGUUGUUGAAUCUUGUCAUUCCUCAAGGAAGGAGUGUUAGACAGACAGCAUCAAUGAUGGACAAAAACCUUGUAACCAUCCUUGCACUUUGAAUUUUCAUAGUGAAGAAAACUAAUGGGGAAAAAUGAGUCUGAGAUGCUUUUUUGCUUUCUUUUUGGCCUUGAGUUUUUUGUAUGAAAAGGAAUUUUUUUUUUCAAUCUGUAUACUUUUUAGUGUUAUCAGGAUCAAUGAUGUUUAAAUACUGCGUUAUCUUCCUGAAAAAAUUUCUCCAAGCGAGGAAUUUUGUUAGAUGACAAAAUGCCUACUGAGGUCCUUCUUCCAAAAACAGUUUUUUGCUUUUGGUUUGAUUUCAUGAUUUUAUUUAGAGUUUCCUUAAUUUUUGAGUACUCUGUUUGGCGUUUGGCUGAUUUUGAAUUUGUCUAUUUGUUGUAAUUGUAAGUUGCCAAAUAACUUUGUAUGGUUGUCACCCCAGUCUUACAUGCAUCAAUGGUGCAAGAUGGUGAUUGACUUCAAUUUCUGAUUCAAAUAAUUACAUAAGGAUAUUGUCAAGACUUGGUUAAUGGAAUUUCAAAUCUAGACUUGAAAUUGUAAGGUAUUAUCUACUAGCGCACACAUUCUAGAAUGAAGUUUAGAAAGCCAUAUCAUUCGCUUUCUUGGUUUUAUCAAGAACAUUGUUGGUACUGACCAAUACACAUCUUUGUUUUCCAGCGCACUUAGGGUUUAAUCCUGUAGAUUUGAAUGAAAGAUUGAUAUACAGGUAUUGAGAACCACAUUGGAUCAUAUGCUUGUUUCAACUUGGUGAAUCAUGGAGGAAAUUGGCAGCUUAACUUAGAACCACAUUGGAUCAUUCUCUGUGGUACAUGUUGAUCCAUGAAGGAUGGAGCCUUGAAGAAACCCAAAAUGCCUAAGUAGGUUUUGAAGAAGUCAAGCAAAAAAGUGGAGGAAGUGCAAAGUAGCGUGGCGACCAAGUAUGAUUUAGAAGCUCCUGAGCUGUUGCAGGUAUUAACGCCCCAGUCUUACAUGCAUCAACGGUGCGAAAUAUUUAAUCUCUUGUGGAUUAAUAACCAGGCUUCUAAUGGGCACUUCACAGAGGACUCACAAAGUAAAGAAGUAAUAUUUGUCCGGAGGUAAUUUACAACAGGUCUUGAAGUGUUUGGGUGUGAUAAACGUGAACCAGGAAACUCCAUAUGGUGACAUUGUUAAUGGCAGCAGCUCCACGGAUUUUAGCAAAUCUAUAGUCAGUGAUAGGAUAUGAAAGAGACUAUUAACAUGCUGAAGAAAUUGUAGACAAAGAUCCUCAAGAUGAAGAAGCCCAUGCAAUUGCAACCACCAUGCAGAAAAUGAAAUAGCUUACUUAGUUCUCAGUACAGUUGCAGUCCUUGAGGUCAUUUGAGUUUAACCAUUUAGUUGGUAGAUGAAUGGGAAUGAGAUUGGUAGAUGUCACCAAACUUUUGUAGAGUAUGGCUUUACAAACAAGUUAGGAGGGCACAUAGGAAAACAGAAUACAACAAAGACUUUUGUUUUUCGAUGUCAUUUCUAGUAUCCGAACUCACGACAAAAAACAACCAACCUAACUAGAGAUGCCUUUAUCCUCUUGUAAGUAACAUUAAAGUAAAUCAAGAUGGUGAAAAAGAUACCAUUAGUGUGAA